rnacentral:rRNA from 1 species
UACGGGGGGAGCAAGCGUUGUUCGGAUUUACUGGGCGUAAAGGGCGGGUAGGCGGCCACCGCAAGUCGACUGUGAAAUCUCCGGGCUUAACCCGGAAAGGUCAGCCGAUACUGCGGGGCUAGAGUGCAGAAGGGGCAACUGGAAUUCCCGGUGUAGCGGUGAAAUGCGUAGAUAUCGAGAGGAACACCUGCGGCGAAGGCGGGUUGCUGGGCUGACACUGACGCUGAACUGCGAAAGCUAGGGGAGCGAACGGG